AGUUCGGAUCGGAGUCUGCAACUCGACUCCGUGAAGCUGGAUUCGCUAGUAAUCGCGCAUCAGCCAUGGCGCGGUGAAUACGUUCCCGGGCCUUGUACACACCGCCCGUCAAGCCAUGGAAGCCGGGGGUACCUGAAGUUCGUGACCGCGAGGAGCGACCUAGGGUAAAACUGGUAACUGGGGCUAAGUCGUAACAAGGUAGCCGUACCGGAAGGUGUGGCUGGAUUACCUCCUUUCUGGAG
rnacentral:rRNA from 1 species